UACGUAGGGUGCAAGCGUUAAUCGGAAUUACUGGGCGUAAAGCGUGCGCAGGCGGUGAUGUAAGACAGUUGUGAAAUCCCCGGGCUCAACCUGGGAACUGCAUCUGUGACUGCAUCGCUGGAGUGCGGCAGAGGGGGAUGGAAUUCCGCGUGUAGCAGUGAAAUGCGUAGAUAUCAAGAGGAACACCUGAGGUGAAGACGGGUUGCUGGGCUGACACUGACGCUGAGGCGCGAAAGCCAGGGGAGCAAACGGG
rnacentral:rRNA from 1 species